rnacentral:rRNA from 1 species
AUACGGAGGGUGCAAGCGUUAUUCGGAAUCACGGGGCGUAAAGGACGCGUAGGCGGGUUGGCAAGUCAGAUGUGAAAUCCUACAGCUUAACUGUAGAACUGCAUUUGAAACUGCUAACCUAGAGUAUGGGAGGGGGAGAUGGAAUUGGUGGUGUAGGGGUAAAAUCCGUAGAUAUCACUAGGAAUACCGAAAGCGAAGGCGAUCUCCUGGAACAUAACUGACGCUAAGGCGUGAAAGCGUGGGGAGCAAACAGGAUUAGAAACCCUAGUAGUCC